CAAGAGAUAGUUUAAUUAGAACUUCAGCUUUGGGUGCUGAUGGUAGGGCUUGAGUCUUUCUCUUGA
rnacentral:tRNA from 1 species